CUCACAGCGUAUAUUAAGUUGUUGCAGUUAAAACGCUCGUAGUCGGAUUUCGGGGCGGGCGGGCCGGUCUGCCGAUGGGUAUGCACUGGUCUGGCCGUCCUUCCUUCCGGAGACCGUGCGUGCUCUUAACUGAGUGCGCUCGGGAGACGGAUUGUUUACUUUGAAAAAAUCAGAGUGUUUCAAGCAGGCAGCUCGCUCUUGCAUGGAUUAGCAUGGGAUAAUGAAAUAGGACUUUGGUGCUAUUUUGUUGGUUUCGAACACCGAAGUAAUGAUUAACAGGGACAGUCAGGGGCACUCGUAUUCCGCCGAGAGAGGUGAAAUUCUCAGACCAGCGGAAGACGAACCACUGCGAAAGCAUUUGCCAGGGAUGUUUUCACUGAUCAAGAACGAAAGUUAGGGGAUCGAAGACGAUCAGAUACCGUCGUAGUCUUAACCAUAAACCAUGCCGACUAGGGAUUGGAGGAUGUUCAAUACGUGACUCCUUCAGCACCUUUCGGGAAACUAAAGUCUUUGGGUUCCGGGGGGAGUAUGGUCGCAAGGCUGAAACUUAAAGGAAUUGACGGAAGGGCACCACAAGGAGUGGAGCCUGCGGCUUAAUUUGACUCAACACGGGGAAACUUACCAGGUCCAGACAUUGUGAGGAUUGACAGAUUGAGAGCUCUUUCUUGAUUCGAUGGGUGGUGGUGCAUG
rnacentral:rRNA from 1 species